rnacentral:rRNA from 1 species
GAUGAACGCUGGCGGCGUGCCUAAUACAUGCAAGUCGAGCGGUAACACUUCGGGUGACGAGCGGCGGACGGCAGAGUAACGCGUAGGAACGUACCCCAAAGUGAGGGAUAAGCACCGGAAACGGUGUCUAAUACCGCAUGUGAUCUUCGGAUUAAAGCUUCGGCGCUUUGGGAACGGCCUGCGUAUGAUUAGCUAGUUGGUGUGGUAAAGGCGCACCAAGCCUACGAUCCAUAGCUGGUCUGAGAGGAUGAUCAGCCACACUGGGACUGAGACACGGCCCAGACUCCUACGGGAGGCAGCAGUGGGGAAUCUUGCGCAAUGGGCGAAAGCCUGACGCAGCCAUGCCGCGUGAAUGAUGAAGAUCUUAAGAUUGUAAAAUUCUUUUACCAGGGACGAUAAUGACGGUACCUGGAGAAAAAGCCCCGGCUAACUUCGUGCCAGCCGCCGCGGUAA